CAGGCAGGAAUUUAAGUCACUCUUGACCCAGAGAGACAAAGGAGAAACUUCUUCACUGAAAAUUAGGGAUGCAGAGAAGCAAAUAAAUUCACUGACAUCUGGAGAUACCAAGCUCAGGCCUGGUGAAUAAUGGAAAACCUAGAGAGUCCUGGCUUGGAAAAAGCAAUCGAUAAGAAAACUAAAGACUUGAAUACGUUGCUACGCUAUCACAUGGGAAGAAACCUACCAUAAUCACCCAAAGAAAAACAUGUCACAAUCCCUGUUCUGCUGUAAGAGAAAAGCGUGCCUCGUCCGUACAGGCCAGCUUCACUUUCCACCUGGCGAGACGUAGGGGAGAAGCUGGCCUAAAGGAGCUUUCACGGACCCCUGACGUCUCUGGCCGGCUCCCCAGGUCCCUACAGGGACGUCUUCCUCUUGCUGCUCUCAGAAAGCACCAGGAACAGAUGCAUUACAGUUUGUGACAGGAGAACAGCCUGUGGAUUCCGCCUACUGCCUCGGUCCAUCUGGGAGAAAGACCAUGUGACAGCAUAAUGGGAAGGUGGCUGUCUGUAAGCCAAGAAGAGAGCUCUUACCAGGAUCCAAAUCAGGACCCUGGACUCUACAGCCUCCAGAACC